rnacentral:rRNA from 1 species
GAUGAACGCUAGCGGCAGGCCUAAUACAUGCAAGUCGAACGGUAACAUGAGUAGCAAUACUUGAUGACGAGUGGCGCACGGGUGCGUAACGCGUAUGCAAUCUACCUUUAACCGGUGAAUAGCCCGAAGAAAUUCGGAUUAAUACACCAUAGUAUGUUUGAGUGGCAUCACUUAAACAUUAAAACUCCGGUGGUUAAAGAUGAGCAUGCGUGACAUUAGCUAGUUGGUGAGGUAAUGGCUCACCAAGGCUACGAUGUCUA